UACGUAGGGUGCAAGCGUUGUCCGGAAUUAUUGGGCGUAAAGAGCUCGUAGGCGGUCUGUCGCGUCUGCUGUGAAAACUCGGGGCUUUACCCCGGGCCUGCAGUGGGUACGGGCAGACUAGAGUGCGGUAGGGGAGACUGGAAUUCCUGGUGUAGCGGUGAAAUGCGCAGAUAUCAGGAGGAACACCGGUGGCGAAGGCGGGUCUCUGGGCCGUAACUGACGCUGAGGUGCGAAAGCGUGGGGAGCAAACAGG
rnacentral:rRNA from 1 species